GGAAACAUUUUGGGGUGAUUUGAAAAAGUCUGAGAAUAUACCCACAGAACCUGAUCCAGGUAAUGCUGGCGAAGGAAGAAAUGUUUCCUGGGGUU
rnacentral:ncRNA from 2 species